AUAUUCACACCUAGAUUCUUGGAAUAUUUUUAAUAUAAUAUUUCUCGCUCCUUUACCUACAACAACAAUUAUUUUCGUAACAUAAGAUUCGUUUGAAAUUGCAGAAAAAUUACAUAAAGUACGAUGAAAAAAAUAUCAUGUUUGUUUCAGUACGUAAUUUUGCGUUUCGCAUAUCGCGAUGAAUCAAUUAUAAUAUAUUUUCUACGGUCCCAUAAAAGAAUCCAGAAGUAUAUCCCUAUAUACUUUUAUCCUAACUCCAUUUUAUCUGAUAGCGUCAGAUAGGCCUCAAUACCAAAAUAAGCCAUAGUACAACAGCUAUAGAAUUCUUUCGAAUUUUUAGUACUGAAUAAAAAUAUUAAAAACAUAAUUAUUUAAGUACUUAGGUUUUUAAAAAGAGCUAGUUUAGAGUUUUUGUUGAUAUAAGUAUUAUGUUUUGAAGAAAUAACAAUUAUUUUACAUUAUUUAGUUUGUACCAUAAUUAAUUCUAGAUGAUUUUUUAUUUUUUUUUCAUUCUAAAAGGCCAUAGGUUCAACCACACCUUCAACAUUUAAUAUAUUAUAUUCCCACAUUACGUGAUUAUUUGGUUAAGCUAUUUUAGACUAUAAAAUUGGAAUAAAAUUUAUUGAUUCCGAUAGUUGUUGUUGCUUUGAAUUUUGGAUUGGCCUAGUUUAAAAUAAAUCAUUCAAAACCCUCUCUCACACCAAAAGCCUCUCUCAAAAUCUUAAAUAUCCAUUUUGAUUUUUAUUCCAAUAAUAAUAAGUCAAAUAUUUUUAAAUAAUUUAUCAAUCAAUUUUUCAUUCCAAUACAAUUUAAUUUAAUUUUUCAUUUCUAUUUCAACUAUGAACCAAAUAUAUCCCAUAUUCUAAAUCAUUUCCUUCUAGAAGGUUAUGGAUCAGACCAGUUUCAACAUUCAACAGAUUAAAUUCAUGCGUUAUAUUUAAAUCUCCUAUUUCACCUGUUCUAAUCCUUUCAGAUUUUUAAAUUCAUUCAUUAUAUUUAAAUACCUACAUGUCUCCUAUUUCUCCUUCACCUACAUAACCCACUAAAUAGAUAUUAAA
rnacentral:lncRNA from 1 species